UACGUAGGGGCCUAGCGUUGUCCGGAAUUAUUGGGCGUAAAGGGCGCGUAGGCGGUGCGGUAAGUCUGAUGUGAAAUCUCCGGGCUCAACUCGGAGUCUGCAUCAGAAACUGCCGUGCUUGAGUGUGGGAGAGGUGAGUGGAAUUCCCGGUGUAGCGGUGAAAUUCGUAGAUAUCGGGAGGAACACCGGUGGCGAAGGCGGCGAUCUGGGUCGAUACUGACGCUGAGGUGCGAAAGCGUGGGGAGCAAACAGG
rnacentral:rRNA from 1 species